rnacentral:rRNA from 1 species
GACGAACGCGGGCGGCGUGCUUAAUACAUGCAAGUGGGACGCAAGGAAACACACUGUGCUUGCACACCGUGUUUUCUUGAGUCGCGAACGGGUGAGUAACGCGUAGGUAACCUGCCUAUUAGCGGGGGAUAACUAUUGGAAACGAUAGCUAAUACCGCAUAAUAUUAAUUAUUGCAUGAUAAUUGAUUGAAAGAUGCAAGCGCAUCACUAGUAGAUGGACCUGCGUUGUAUUAGCUAGUUGGUAAGGUAAGAGCUUACCAAGGCGACGAUACAUAGCCGACCUGAGAGGGUGAUCGGCCACACUGGGACUGAGACACGGCCCAGACUCCUACGGGAGGCAGCAGUAGGGAAUCUUCGGCAAUGGACGAAAGUCUGACCGAGCAACGCCGCGUGAGUGAAGAAGGUUUUCGGAUCGUAAAGCUCUGUUGUAAGUCAAGAACGUGUGUGAGAGUGGAAAGUUCACACAGUGACG